GGUGAGUAACACGUGGGCAAUCUGCCCUGCACUCUGGGACAAGCCCUGGAAACGGGGUCUAAUACCGGAUACUGAUCCUCGCAGGCAUCUGCGAGGUUCGAAAGCUCCGGCGGUGCAGGAUGAGCCCGCGGCCUAUCAGCUAGUUGGUGAGGUAACGGCUCACCAAGGCGACGACGGGUAGCCGGCCUGAGAGGGCGACCGGCCACACUGGGACUGAGACACGGCCCAGACUCCUACGGGAGGCAGCAGUGGGGAAUAUUGCACAAUGGGCGAAAGCCUGAUGCAGCGACGCCGCGUGAGGGAUGACGGCCUUCGGGUUGUAAACCUCUUUCAGCAGGGAAGAAGCGAAAGUGACGGUACCUGCAGAAGAAGCGCCGGCUAACUACGUGCCAGCAGCCGCGGUAAUACGUAGGGCGCAAGCGUUGUCCGGAAUUAUUGGGCGUAAAGAGCUCGUAGGCGGCUUGUCACGUCGGUUGUGAAAGCCCGGGGCUUAACCCCGGGUCUGCAGUC
rnacentral:rRNA from 1 species